rnacentral:rRNA from 1 species
CAGUAGCCGCGGGAAUACGAAGGGUGCAAGCGUUACUCGGAAUUACUGGGCGUAAAGCGUGCGUAGGUGGUGGUUUAAGUCCGUUGUGAAAGCCCUGGGCUCAACCUGGGAAUUGCAGUGGAUACUGGGUCACUAGAGUGUGGUAGAGGAUAGUGGAAUUUCCGGUGUAGCAGUGAAAUGCGUAGCGAUCGGAAGGAACAUCUGUGGCGAAGGCGACUAUCUGGGCCAACACUGACACUGAGGCACGAAAGCGUGGGGAGCAAACAGGAUUAGAUACCCCAGUAGUCCCUGUCUCUUAUAA